CUUUUCUGGAAGUUUUUUCUGCAAGCAGUGAUAAUUGUGAAAGUGUUGUGACUUCAAGGAGAUGGAUAGGUGGGAUGAAGUAGAGGUUUCUGACAACUCCUUUUUUUUUUUUUUUUUUUUAAUUUUUGACAGGCAGAGUGGACAGUGAGAGAGACAGAGAGAAAGGUCUUCCUUUGCCGUUGGUUCACCCUCCAAUGGCCGCCGCGGCUGGCGCGCUGUGGCCGGUGCACCGCGCUGAUCCGAAGCCAGGUGCCAGGUGCUUCUCCUGGUCUCCCAUGGGGUGCAGUGCCCAAGCACCUGGGCCAUCCUCCACUGCACUCCCGGGCCAUAGCAGAGAGCUGGCCCGGAAGAGGGGCAACCAGGACAGAAUCCGGUGCCCCGACCAGGACUAGAACCGGUGUGCCGGUGCCACAAGGCGGAGGAUUAGCCUGUUGAGCCACGGUGCCGGCCCUGACAACUCUUGAGAGCAUUGGACAGGCUGUGGACAGGAGCUGCUCAGUUCCUGAAGCAUUGUAAGCUGAAGCUGGACAUCGUGGGGUAAAUUCCAAAGAAGUCUCAUGCCUGCUGUGUGGGCCACAGUGUCCUGCCGAGCCACCCAGUGCCACAAAACACUGGAAUCGCACACCAGGAUGGACAGCUUUCCCAGGACACUGCCAGGAGGCUGGACUCCAACUUCUUAGCUGUUCCUUGGGUAUGACUACCUUUUCCAUUGGCAGGAGAAUCCCACCACCAGUCGUUCUUGCAGGCUAACGAAAUGUUGGCUGCUCUGGCCAGACCCGUCUUUACGUGGCCUAAGAGGGUCUUUGGCUCACCUGGUGGGAAGCUUUGUUUGUGAAGACAUGCAGACCACUUGCUUUCACUCCCUACCCUACCCUAAGCUAGCUCUAGGUGGCUGAGCAGGGAGAAGACUGGGCCGUGGCUGAUGCUUGUCACAGCUGGGUGAAUAGGGUGGGCCUUGUAGAGGCUCAUUGCAAGCAUCAGUGGACAGGCUGCCUGGUUAGAGCAGGUGGACUUCACGUCUGGCUCGUGGGUGCCCUGGCUAUGAAGCACACUCCAAAGUCUGUCGUCUCCCUGGUACAGUGUAUUCUCAAGCCUACAGUUGUCCAUCAAAUGUCUGAGGGCCUCUCAUCAUCUGGGACAGAAACAAACCGUGUGAUGACAAGGGUGCUUGACCGAGGGAGGACACCCAGAAUGAUGGCACCUGCUGUGCUAAUGCCCUUACGUUUUGGUCACAUCUCACCUGGGCAAGAGCCUGACCAAAAGGGGGGAACUUUUAAACAUUACGGGAGUGGGGAGAGGGGGGCCUUGCUUUGGACUAAGCUACUGCACUCGGCCUAACCAGAGUGAAAUUGCUCGUGCUAAAUGCAGCAGAUCCCAGAGCAUGCUUCUUCUGAAAACAGGAGACUGCAGUCAGUCUGGGUCAGCAUAAGGAAGUCCUCGCUUCUGCACCUGAGGCUGACCAGAACCUGUUUCCUGCUGUUUGUCCUGCUGCCACCCACUGGGAACUGACAGAGUAGGCUGGUGAGUUCCAUACCAAUGCCAGUGAAGUCCUGUUACGCUGUGAGGUUGCCUGAGAGGGAGCGACUGCUGCGUCUGGUAUCCUGAGGCAGCCCUACCCGGAUGUUAAGCAGAGUGUAACCUAUUCUUGAAGCAUGUAGACAGUAAGGCAGGCUCAUGCCCAGCCUCACCUGUUUUUGCAACCUCCCCAUGUGGUGGAGCAGGACACCCUGACGUAUUUUUAAAUUUAUUUAUUUGAAAGUCAGAAUUAGAGGGGAGAGAGAGGGAGAGGAAGGGAGGUCCUUUUGCUGGUUCACUCCCCAGUUGGCCCCAACAGCCGGAGCUGCACUGAUCCAAAGCCAGGAGCCAGGAGCUUCUUCCGGGUCUCCCAUGUGAGUGCAGGGGCCCAAGGACUUGCCUUCCCAGACCAUAACAGAGAGCUGGAUAGGAAGUGGACUUGAACCGGCACCCAUAAGGGAUGGUGGCACUGCAGGCAGUGGCUUUACCCACUGUGCCGCAGCGCCGGCCCCCCACCUCCUGAAGUAUUUUUGGUCCAGAUUGGGUGUUUCUAGAUUCAAAAAUAAAGCCAACUGAGAUCUGCAGAACAAGGCUGGUUGUAAUUUUAUUAAAGAUUUAUUUAUUUAUUUGAAAGGUAGAGUUAGAGAGGCACAGAGAGAGGUCUUCCAUCCACUCGCUGGUUCACUCCCUAAUGUCUGCAAUGGCUGCAGCGGGGCCAAUCUGGAGCCAGGAGCCUGGAGCUUCUUUGGGGUCUCCCACAUGGGUGCAGGGGCCCAAGCACUUGGGCCAUCUUCUACUGCCUUCCCAGGCCAUAGCAGAGAGCUGGAUCAGAAGAGGAGCAGCCAGGACUCAAACCAGCACCCAUAUAAGAUGCUGGCACUGCAGGCAGCAGCUUUACCUGCUAUGCCACAGCGCCAGCCCCCCUGUAAUUUUACUUUUUACUUACUGGGAACUGCCCUGUGCAAGCCACCUGCAAGUACAGCAAUCCCAGAGCUCAUGCCGUUGUACCCACGUGUCAGAGGGAGCAAAGAUGCCAUGGGGAAGGGGAGAGGAAGACAGCCUUGUGAGGCACCAGGAGUCCUGGGCAGCGUCUGGGAAAACUGCACCCUCGGGCUCAGCCUGAGGAGCCAGGGGAGGGGCUGUGUGCUGCCUGCUCACCAGGCAGCGGCUCCUGGAACUGCUGAAGUCCGCUCUCUCUGCACCUCCCGCACCCAGGGCUGAGUCCGUGUCCUCAGUGGGCAGGUGGGCUGGUUUCUCAAAAACUUUGGGGCCUCAUCUGGAUUCUGUGCUUGUGUAAAAGAAAACACCCAAUAAUACAA